CCUACGGGAGGCAGCAGUAAGGAAUAUUGGACAAUGCCCGCAAGGGUGAUCCAGCCAUGCCGCGUGCAGGAAGAAGGCCCUAUGGGUCGUAAACUGCUUUUACACCGGAGAAAACCUCCCUUCGUGAAGGGAGCUGAUAGUAUGGUGAGAAUAAGCAUCGGCUAACUUCGUGCCAGCAGCCGCGGUAAGACGAAGGAUGCAAGCGUUAUCCGGAUUCAUUGGGUUUAAAGGGAGCGUAGGUGGACUGAUAAGUCAGUGGUGAAAUCUUCGAGCUUAACUCGGAAAUUGCCAUUGAUACUGUUAGUCUUGAGUACAGUUGCUGUGGGCGGAAUACGACAUGUAGUGGUGAAAUACAUAGAGAUGUCAUAGAACACCGAUUGCGAAGGCAGCUCACAAAGCUGUAACUGACACUGAGGCUCGAAAGUGCGGGGAUCAAACAGGAUUAGAUACCCUGGUAGUCCGCACUGUAAACGAUGAUUACUCGCUGCUAGAGGGCAACUUUUAGUGGCUUAGCGAAAGCGAUAAGUAAUCCACCUGGGGAGUACGCCGGCAACGGUGAAACUCAAAGGAAUUGACGGNGNGAGAGNGCGAGGACGACACGAGGGAGGAGG
rnacentral:rRNA from 1 species